GAUGAACGCUGGCGGCGUGCUUAACACAUGCAAGUCGAGCGAAGCACUUUUGCGGAUUUCUUCGGAUUGAAGCAACUGUGACUGAGCGGCGGACGGGUGAGUAACGCGUGGGUAACCUGCCUCAUACAGGGGGAUCACAGUUGGACACGGCUGCUAAUACCGCAUAAGCGCACAGUACCGCAUGGUACGGUGUGAAAAACUCCGGUGGUAUGAGAUGGACCCGCGUCUGAUUAGGUAGUUGGUGGGGUAACGGCCUACCAAGCCGACGAUCAGUAGCCGACCUGAGAGGGUGACCGGCCACAUUGGGACUGAGACACGGCCCAAACUCCUACGGGAGGCAGCAGUGGGGAAUAUUGCACAAUGGGGGAAACCCUGAUGCAGCGACGCCGCGUGAGCGAUGAAGUAUUUCGGUAUGUAAAGCUCUAUCAGCAUGGAAGAAAAUGACGGUACCUGACUAAGAAGCCCCGGCUAACUACGUGCCAGCCGCCGCCGUAA
rnacentral:rRNA from 1 species